AUUUAGAUGACGAAUCCCAAAUGGGACGAAACACAAGUCAUAGAU
rnacentral:hammerhead_ribozyme from 1 species